ensembl:lncRNA
CGGGUGUGCAGGACUAUAGACAGGACUUCUGAUUUUAAGUGGCAGUUCUAGGUCAAAGAGACUGAGGCCAAAAGGGAAUUUAUCAGCUCGUGCCUUCAAAAAAUCCAGUGAAAAGUAAAGCUUCAGGUAUAGCUGGAUCCAGGCUCUCAAGGGUGUUCUCAGGGACUUACAUGUUCCCACCUCUCAACUCUGCCAUCCUUUGGCUUUAUUUGGACACUCUCCUCCCUGGUGGUAGUGUCUUUAGCCAUAGGACAGUGCCUGGCACAUAUUCCCCUGCCUCCAGCAGCUCCAGGCUCAACGUUCCAGCAAAAGCUCCAGAAUCUGAGACACCCAGUGACGGUCACCCACCCGAUCCCAAGCUGGUUCCGGGCCUGAGGCGCCCAUUCUUGUCUCAUCGGCAGGCCUGGGUCACAGGCCCACCACUCCUGGAUCCUCAAGACUCCAGGAGAGGAAGGAGGGGAGGCUGUCAUUAUGAGAAGGAUCCGGGAAUUGGGUGGGAGAAAGUACAGAGGAACAGAACAAUGAUGGCCUGUGAGACAGGCCAGCGGCUGGACCGGGGCCAUCUCUUCCCCCGUGGACGGGAGCCUGGUUAUCUGGGAGGAGGGGCGGGUCUUGAAGGCACCAGGGGAGGCCGUCAGCCAGCUGCACUCCUUGCAGCUAAGCAGCGGGUUCUUUCUGGAAAGGGACUCCAAGUGGCAUGUCUCCAUAGGGACAGCCUUGGGGUCCAGGCCAGGAGCAGCCUCAACCCCCACAUUCCCUGAAGCUGCAGCUUCCCCUUCCUUGUGCUCAAAAUGGAUUGUUUCAGUUCCAGCUUUAAUUCCCAUCGAGCAGGAGGUGAGAAGGGGAAGUGGAAAAAGAGAAGAGAAAUCAGAUUCCCUCCCUCCCUGUGCCCUCCUCUGCCAAGUUUGUCUGCUUGUGUGGCCAGCCGGAUACCACAGGUGAAACCAAAACUCCUCCAGGAGGGGGUGGCUCUGCCCUCGGCCCUCAGUUUUCUGGGUGCCAGGCAGGCCCUGGCCUCGGGCAUCAAGCCAUUUUUCAGGUGGAGAUUCAGGCUCAGAGAGGGUAGGUGGCUCACCCUGGGUCACACAGCAAGUUGGUGAUGAAUCGUAGGCUGUCUGACUCCUCAGGGGAAGGAAGCCAGGUCUCGAUCUCUGUCAUCCUGUGCCCUUGGUACUAAGCUCGGAGGCCAGGGGCCGACAGGGGGGUUUCCAGGCCGUGUUUCCCAGAAGGCAGGCAGGCCAAGGUUAGGAGGCCUUUUCCCACGUCCAGCCUGGUCUGAACUGGUUCCUGGCUGGCUGGCAGACGGUGACUCAGGCUUCCAGCUCCUACCUCUGGCUGUCAGGCCUCCUCAUCCCUUCCAGAUACGAGGGCCGUGGGGACGGGUUCGGGAUGGGAAGAGGCUGCAGAGUCAUGGGUAUCCUGAGACCAUAGGAUCCAAGCAGCCCACGGAGCUUCGGCCCCGGUCAGCUCUUCCUUCCAUCUAAACGGAAUCGCUUCUGCUGCAGGCGCAAACCAACCCCGUGCCUUGUUGCCUGAAUUGAAAACCUGAAUUGAAAGCGGAAACCAGCAGAGGUUGACCCCUUGCGGGGUGAGGGGCGUCAGUGUUCCUCCCGAUGGUGCACCUGGAGUGGAGGUGGGUGCUGAACGCCUGGUGUCAGGGAAAUGCUCCCUGGCAGCCGGACAGACUCCACACUAGGCCUGCGCCCUGCCAGGGUCCCUGGGGGCUCCUGAGAGCCGUAUCGACCGGAUGUGGGAUCUGAGAACAAGGCUUGAUUUCAUCUGGGCCUAAGUGGGAGAAGGGCUGGGAACUGGGUCCGGAGGACCUGAGGUUGGGAACCCAGCUCUGAGCUUGCUUGGUGCCAGCCCUGCAGGGGAGGCCCCCUCUGUGUAUUGACCUGCCCUCAGCCCUCAUCAGUUGCCCCCCACCGCCCCCCCCUGCUGCCCCGGGCAGUCUCCUGGCGCCAUCUCCUGGCCAAAGGCCCUUAUUGCAGGGAAGACAUUCCUGGCGGAAUCCUCUGGAGUGGGGAGCAGGGGAGCAGGGACUUUGGGGGACAGUGGAAAAGGGGGUGUAGAGUGAGAAAGAUCUUGUUGAAGUGCCCCCAGACUGGGACACCUCAGGACACUCACUAGCCCUUCCUGAGCCUUAGUUCCUUUAUGGGUACCAUGCAAAGUAUCACCCCACGACUGCCUGCCCAGAACUGCAGGUGAAACAUGUGACACGGGGUGGGCGGUUGAGAAAUCAGUGUCACCUGGUGCUGAAGACCUGAAACCACCGGACACUAGGGUGACCCGAGGGAGCCCAGGGCAGGGCCUGGAAUUGAUUCACUGCCCUGACAAACGCUGGCUGCAAGGGCGGCCCACACACAUGGUUUCGUUUAGUUCUGACAGCAGCCUGUGUCCGCACCAGUGAUCCCUCUCGUCUUACAGAUGAGAAAACCACACGAACAGUGCAGCUAUUCAGAGAAGGUGCGUGGAAGUGUCCCAGGCAGAGGAGGCAGCCCGGGAAAGGCCCCCGGAAAGCCCGGGGCGGGGGCAGGCUGGCAGCCGGGGGCCCCGGCAGGCUUGGGAGUAGAGCAGUGGCCCCUGGGCUCUGCUUGAGGUUUUGAGGCCCAUCCCCUCGGGCUUCCCAUUUGAGCCCCUCUUCGCACAACUCACCCCACACUCUGGUGGCGACACUUGCUCUUCAUUUCUCGCUCAGGGUAGACUCGUCCCCUGCCUCCAUGCCCCGGCCUGGCCUGCCCUCUUCAUGCUUUUUAUGUGUCCAAGUUCCCGCAGCCUUUUAUUUUAUUUCAUGUCACUUGAUUUUGUUUUUCCUUUUUUGGCCGUCCCACAGCAUAUGGAGUUCCCCGGGCCAGGGGUCAGAUCCGAGCCACAGAUGUGACCCAUGCCACAGUUGCGGCAAAGCCGGAUCCUUUAACCCACUGUGCCAGGCCAGGGAUCAAACUUGCAUCCUGGCACUGCAGCGGGGACACCUUCCCCCCGCCCAGCAGCCCAUGUGCCUUCUCUGGGAGCCCUUCCAGGUGCC